rnacentral:rRNA from 1 species
UACAGAGGGUGCGAGCGUUAAUCGGAAUUACUGGGCGUAAAGCGCGCGUAGGCGGCUUUGCAAGUCGGGUGUGAAAUCCCCAGGCUUAACCUGGGAACUGCAUUCGAGACUGCAUUGCUAGAGUAUGGGAGAGGGAAGUGGAAUUUCCGGUGUAGCGGUGAAAUGCGUAGAUAUCGGAAGGAACAUCAGUGGCGAAGGCAGCUCGCUGGGACGUUACUGACGCUGAGACGCGAAAGCGUGGGGAGCAAACAGG